rnacentral:misc_RNA from 1 species
GAUGAAGAACGCAGCGAAAUGCGAUAAGUAAUGUGAAUUGCAGAAUUCAGUGAAUCAUCGAAUCUUUGAACGCACCUUGCACCCUUUGGCAUUCCGAAGGGUAUGCUCGUUUGAGUGUCAUUGUACUCUCACUCUCCCGAUGCUUUUGGAUCGGGAGUGGUGGACUUGGGUGUUGCUGCUUUGCUGUGGCUCGCCUCAAAUGGAGUAGUGCAACUCUUGGUUGGACAUAGUACGGCGUGAUAAGUGUCUUCGCCGGCGCCUCAUUAUAGAGGGUGGCCGAUCGGGAGCUCUGUGCUUCAAACCGUCUUCGGACAACAUCUGACAACUUGACCUCAAAUCGAGUAGGACUACCCGCUGAACUUAAGCAUAUCAAUAAGCGGAGGA